rnacentral:rRNA from 1 species
GACUCCUAGUGGCGAACGGGUGAGUAACGCGUUGGUGACCUGCCCCGAAGAGGGGGACAACAGUUCGAAAGGACUGCUAAUACCCCAUGUGGUCUCUGAGGAUUAGAUGCUUUAUGACUAAAGGAGUAAUCCGCUUUGGGAGGAGCCUGCGUCCCAUCAGCUAGUUGGUAAGGUAAUGGCUUACCAAGGCAACGACGGGUAGGGGACCUGAGAGGGUGGUCCCCCACACUGGCACUGAAACACGGGCCAGACACCUACGGGUGGCAGCAGUAGGGAAUAUUGCACAAUGGGCGAAAGCCUGAUGCAGCAACACCGCGUGCACGAUGAAGGCCCUCGGGUCGUAAAGUGCUUUUAUGAGGGAAGAGCAAGGACGGUACCUCAUGAAUAAGGAUCGGCUAACUACGUGCCAGCAGCCGCGGUAACACGUAGGAUUCAAGCGUUAUCCGAAUUUACUGGGCGUAAAGCGCGUGUAGGCGGUUCGGUAAGUUGGACGUGAAAGCUCCUGGCUCAACUGGGAGAGGUCGUUCAAAACUUCCUGGCUAGAGGACGGUAGAGGGAGGUGGAAUUCCCGGUGUAGUGGUGAAAUGCGUAGAUAUCGGGAGGAACACCAGUGGCGAAGGCGGCCUCCUGGGCCGUUCCUGACGCUCAGACGCGAAAGCUAGGGGAGCGAACGGGAUUAGAUACCCCGGUAGUCCUAGCUGUAAACGAUGUGAACUUGGCGUUGGUGGGGUAAAAUCCAUCAGUGCCGGAGCUAACGCGAUAAGUUCACCGCCUGGGGACUACGACCGCAAGGUUAAAACUCAAAGGAAUUGGCGGGGGCCCGCACAAGCAGCGGAGCGUGUGGUUUAAUUCGAUGCUACGCGAAGAACCUUACCUGGGUUUGACAUAUUAGUGGUAGGAAUCCGAAAGGUGACCGACCCUUCGGGGAGCUAUUACAGGUGAUGCAUGGCUGUCGUCAGCUCGUGUCGUGAGAUGUCCGGUUAAGUCCGGUAACGAGCGCAACCCUUGCUGUAUGUUAUACGUGUCAUACAGGACUGCCGGUUUAGUGCCGGAGGAAGGCGGGGAUGACGUCAAGUCAGCAUGGCCCUUAUUGUCCUGGGCUACACACACGCUACAAUGGUCAGUACAAUAGGUUGCAAAACCGCGAGGUGGAGCCAAUCCAUAAAGCUGGCCUCAGUUCAGAUUGCAGGCUGCAACUCGCCUGCAUGAA